AAUCUUUCUAUGACUCAGCUUCUAAGAUGUAAAAUGGAAAAAAAUCUUUAUCAUACUGCCUAUCUUCCUUUUUUGCUGUUGGUUCAAACUCUUAGUUCAGUGGGUUCAAGGCUAUCUCUUAACACGCAUCUUGUAAAUGGACAAUCUUGAAAGAUUUCUGCAGUCAGCACAGCUCACCUCUAUCCUGGGACAUGUCUGUGCUCUGCAAUCUGUUUUACAUAGCAGCUAAAGAAAAUACUCCUGAUAUGAACUUACUAAUUAAUCAACACCAGAAAGUAUGAGAAAAUGAAAGUCUCUCACACUGUCCCUGGGGGAAGACGAUCGACAAGAGAGGCAAGUGGUUUAGAGACCUUCAUCUGGAGGCCUGGUGACCUUUAUCUCCCCAGAUAUCCUCAUAAGAAGAAAAUGUCAAGUAAUUCUCACUGUUAAUAAAAUUCUUAAUAUUAGGUCAACUGCACAGCAAAUUCUUUCCUCUGCCAUCUUGGUCUGGGAAUGUGAGGUCACUGCUGUUAUGGUAGUAUACAUUUCCAUAGGUUUUGUAGAGAAAAAAUAUAUUUUGCUUUGUAUACUUCCCUAAUACAAAUCCUAGCCAAUCUCACAAUGGAAAAGUUGGAAGCUUUCUUUCGAGACUUGAUAAAGCAAUGAUCUUGGAAUUAUUUUCUAAGUUCUAAGGCUCUUUUGCUGCAAUCUCCAACCUGUCCAAGGAAAUCUAAAAUAAAAGACAAAUAAGUUGUUAAUGACA
rnacentral:lncRNA from 1 species